CCUACGGGAGGCAGCAGUAAGGAAUAUUGGUCAAUGGGCGAAAGCCUGAACCAGCCAUGCCGCGUGCAGGAAGACGGCCUACGGGUUGUAAACUGCUUUUAUACGGGAAUAUGUACUGUAAGAAUAAGGAUCGGCUAACUCCGUGCCAGCAGCCGCGGUAAUACGGAGGAUCCAAGCGUUAUCCGGAUUUAUUGGGUUUAAAGGGUGCGUAGGCGGCCAAUUAAGUCAGGGGUGAAAGACGGUAGCUUAACUAUCGCAGUGCCUUUGAUACUGAUUGGCUUGAAUGUACUUGAGGUAGGCGGAAUGUGACAAGUAGCGGUGAAAUGCAUAGAUAUGUCACAGAACACCAAUUGCGAAGGCAGCUUACUAAGUUGAUUGACGCUGAGGCACGAAAGCGUGGGGAUCAAACAGGAUUAGAUACCCUUGUAGUC
rnacentral:rRNA from 1 species